rnacentral:lncRNA from 1 species
UUUUACUUUAAGAGAAAUUGUUAGUAGACCCCAAACAACUCACAAAACCCAAGUGUCUUAUUUUUCUGUUGUAGUUUACAUCUUUGGCAUUUGUUCAUUUUCAGCAUAUUCUGACAUUCUGCAGUUGACACGUCUGUGCCCAUGACUGUAAUGUUCUUUUGUCCGAUGCAGAGGCUCCCUGGUUUGCUCACAGCGAGGUCAUCAUCUCAGGGUCAUGCGAUCAAGCCCUGCAUCGGGAUCCAUGCUGAGCAUGUAACCUGCUUAAGAUUCUUUCUCUGCCUGGACGCCUGGGUGGCUCAGUCAGUUUAAGCGACUGCCUUCGGCUCAGGUCAUAAUCCUGGAGUCCUGGGAUCGAGUCCCACAUCGGGCUCCCUGCUCGGCAGGGAGUCUGCUUCUCCCUCUGACCCUCUUCCCUCUCGUGCUCUCUAUCUCUCAUUCUCU